rnacentral:lncRNA from 1 species
GGCAUCAAAUGCCUAGACACAAGCAUUUCUUUUAAGAUCAUGUUGGUUGUCACAAACAAGGAAAAAUAGACAGUGAAAAAGGAAUAAGGAUACAUUACAGGCAUACUUCAGAAGUACUGGACAAGAAAGUAAAAAGACAGCAGUAGAAUCCGCAAGCCUUAAUGCCAAGUCAUGAUACCAACUCAUAAAGGUUGCCUUCUCUACCUUCUACUCCAGGUCUCUAGCCCAGCCAUUCACAAAGGGCAGCCAACACUCGGAAAGCAUUAGAGAAAUUUAUGGGCAGUUUUUAUCAGCUGUCACAUUUGGUGGGCACCACUGGCAGUUGCUAGAAAGACGGUAGGUAUCCUGCCAUAAUUGAAAUACUACUUCACAAUAAAAAUGAUCCUGCUUGACUACUGAUUGGAGCU